UACGUAGGGGGCUAGCGUUGUCCGGAAUCAUUGGGCGUAAAGAGCGCGUAGGCGGCCAGAUAAGUCCGGUGUGAAAGUCACAGGCUCAACCUGUGAAUGCCGCUGGAAACUGUCUGGCUAGAGUCCGGAAGGGGCGAGUGGAAUUCCUGGUGUAGCGGUGAAAUGCGCAGAUAUCAGGAGGAACACCAAUGGCGAAGGCAGCUCGCUGGGACGGAACUGACGCUAAGGCGCGAAAGCGUGGGGAGCGAACAGG
rnacentral:rRNA from 1 species